GAGUUUGAUCCUGGCUCAGGAUGAACGCUGGCGGCGUGCCUAACACAUGCAAGUCGAGCGAAGCACUUUACUUGAUUUCUUCGGAUUGAAGGUAUAGUGACUGAGCGGCGGACGGGUGAGUAACGCGUGGGUAACCUGCCUCAUACAGGGGGAUAACAGUUAGAAAUGACUGCUAAUACCGCAUAAGACCACAGCACCGCAUGGUGCGGGGGUAAAAACUCCGGUGGUAUGAGAUGGACCCGCGUCUGAUUAGCUAGUUGGUAAGGUAAGGGCUUACCAAGGCGACGAUCAGUAGCCGACCUGAGAGGGUGACCGGCCACAUUGGGACUGAGACACGGCCCAAACUCCUACGGGAGGCAGCAGUGGGGAAUAUUGCACAAUGGGGGAAACCCUGAUGCAGCGACGCCGCGUGAGUGAUGAAGUAUUUCGGUAUGUAAAGCUCUAUCAGCAGGGAAGAAAAUGACGGUACCUGACUAAGAAGCACCGGCUA
rnacentral:rRNA from 1 species